rnacentral:rRNA from 1 species
AUUGAACGCUGGCGGCAUGCUUUACACAUGCAAGUCGAGCGGCAGCGCGGCCUUCGGUCUGGUGGCUGGCGGCGAACGGGUGCGUAAUGCAACGGAACAGGCCAAGUAGCGGUGGAUAACACAUCAAAAGAAGUAAUAAUACCGCAUACGUGCUGAUGGUGAACGUGGGGGAUCGCAAGACCUCGCGCGAUUUCAGUUGCCGAUGUCAGAUUAGCUAGUUGGUGGGGUAAUGGCUUACCAAGGCGACGAUCUGUAGCUGGUCUGAGAGGAUGAUCAGCCACACUGGGACUGAGACACGGCCCAGACUCCUACGGGAGGCAGCAGUGGGGAAUUUUGGACAAUGGGGGAAAGCCUGAUGCAGCAAUGCCGCGUGAGUGAAGAAGGCCUUCGGGUUGUAAAGCUCUGUCGGCAGGAACGAAACGGUGCGCUCGAAAAUAGUCGUAUAAUGACGGUACCUGACGAAGAAGCACCGGCUAACUACGUG